rnacentral:rRNA from 1 species
GAUUAACGCUGGCGGCGUGCAUAACACAUGCAAGUCGAACGAUGAAACUUAAAUGAUUUCUUCGGAAUGAACUUAAGUGGAUUAGUGGCGGACGGGUGAGUAACGCGUGAGUAACCUGCCUUACACAAGGGGAUAGCCGUUGGAAACGACGAAUAAUACCCUAUGAAACUAUCACUUCGCAUGAAGCGAUAGUCAAAGUGUUAGCGGUGUAAGAUGGACUUGCGUCUGAUUAGCUAGUUGGUGAGAAAAAAGCCCACCAAGGCAACGAUCAGUAGCCGGCUUGAGAGAGUGUACGGCCACAUUGGGACUGAGACACGGCCCAGACUCCUACGGGAGGCAGCAGUGGGGAAUUUUGCACAAUGGGGGAAACCCUGAUGCAGCGACGCCGCGUGAUUGAGAAGGCCUUCGGGUUGUAAAAAUCUUUUGUAUAGGAAGAAAAUGACAGUACUAUACGAAUAAGGUCCGGCUAAUUACGUG